CUACCUAGUAGUGGGGGACAACCCGAGGAAACUCGGGCUAAUACCGCAUACGACCUAGGGGUGAAAGCGGGGGAUUUUCGAACCUCGCGCUAUUAGAGGAGCCUGCGUUGGAUUAGCUUGUUGGUGGGGUAACGGCCUACCAAGGCGACGAUCCAUAGCUGGUCUGAGAGGACGAUCAGCCACACUGGAACUGAGACACGGUCCAGACUCCUACGGGAGGCAGCAGUAAAGAAUAUUGCGCAAUGGGCGAAAGCCUGACGCAGCCAUGCCGCGUGUGUGAAGAAGGCCUUAGGGUUGUAAAGCACUUUCAGUGGCGAAAAAAGUGAGGGGUUAAUACCCCCGCUCUUUGACGCUAACCACAGAAGAAGGUCCGGCUAACUCCGUGCCAGCAGCCGCGGUAAUACGGAGGGACCGAACGUUAAUCGGAAUUACUGGGCGUAAAGCGCACGUAGGCGGUUCGUUAAGUGGGAUGUGAAAGCCCCUAGGCUCAACCUAGGAAUUGCAUCUCAAACUGACGGGCUAGAGUGU
rnacentral:rRNA from 1 species